AAAAUGAGUUAGAAAACUCAUUGAAAUGCUGAUAACGGAUGAGCAGGUAUAAGUGCCAUUACAAUAUCUCUUCCUCUUGUGGCACCCAGUUCUUCUACUGCAUUGUAGAAUGCAUACUGUGUCGUAAAAGAUAAAAGGAAGGCGCAGGCAAAAUUCAACCAGUCUUCAUAUAGGUCCAGUACCCUCAACGACCUAGCUAGCCCGACGUCUUUCAUCACUAUGGCUAAAUCCAACGGGGACCUCGCCAUCGGCGUAGUCUUAUGCAUAGGCUAGGUUAAGUUAUCAUUAUAAGUUAGUUAGUUAAAAUUUAAGUUUAUUGUAAGUAUCCAAAUUUAAUGCGAGUCUGCACCACGAGUGGGAAAAAAUGAUUGCAAGACCACUUAUUGUAUCUCUUUUAAGCAAAAGUGA